AUGAUGCCAGAGCCACAGUUUCUCAUCUUCCUGGUCCUCUGGGUCUCAGGUGCCUCUGGGGCCAUCGUGAUGACCCAGUCUCCAAGCUCCCUGGCUGUGUCCACAGGACAGAGGGGCACAAUCAACUGCAGGUCCAGCCAGAAUCUUUUUUCCUAUUUUGCCUGGUACCAGCAGAAACCAGAAGAGUCUCCCGAACUGCUCAUCUCCUGGGAAUCCAUCCAGACAUGUGGGAGUCCUGAUUGAUUUAGUGGCAAUGGGUCCACAAGAGAUUUCACUCUCACCGUAGGCAGCGUCCAGCCUGAAGGUGUGGCAGUUUAUUAUUGCCAGCAGUAUUAG